UUUUAAUGUAUACUGAACAAACUUUUAUUCCUGGAUGGACAUAGUGAUGUAAUGCCUAUUAUAAAGCUAUGAGAAAAGCAAAUGUGAGACCUGGAGCUGAAAAACUACAAGCUCAUCAGCACAAAAGUGGGAAUCUUCAGUGGCCAAGCAGGUGAAUAGCUAUCUUCAUAUGUGCAAGGCAGUUUUAUGGCAUCACAAUGAAACUGGAAUUUUGUGCAUAAAUAUAAUCAUAUAUUUAGUUACUAAUUUAUAUGAAGAAACCAGUUGCUCUGAGUUAAAGAAGAUAAGGAAAUGAACAUAUGCUAUGAUACACAUUUCAAAAAUAAAACAGAUGUUUUUAAUACAGGAGGACAAUAGAAAUUUACUGAUGGUGUUGAGUAGCUGAGUUAGAUAGAUUCUUUAAAGAGAGAAAACAUAAUAACAUUUUCAAUAUACCAGAGGCCUUAAAAAAUCAAUGUUUUUCUUUAUAGUUCAAUUCACAGGAGAUGUAAAGACAUCAGUACUUUUCUUAGGGCAUUGUGAUUACCCUUACACAAUAAUCCAAAGAUGAAUUCAUGAAAAAUAAGCAUGACUGAUCUUGCAAUCACACGGUACAACCUUGUAUUUUCUUUUUCUUUAUUUCCUUUCUUUUCUUUUCUUUUUUUUUGAGAUGGAGUCUCACUCUGUCGCCCAGGCUGGAAUGCAAUCACUGCAACCUCUGCCUCCCAGGUCCAAGCGAUUCACCUGCCUCAGCGCCCUCCACCACACCUGGCUAAUUUUUGUGUUUUUAGUAGAGAUGGGGUUUCACCAUGUGGGCCAGGCUAGUCUAAAACUCCUGACCUAAGGUGAUCCACUUGUCUUGGCUUCCCCAAGUGCUGGGAUUACAGGUGUGAGCCAUCGCGCCUGGCCUAACCUUGUAUUUUCUUGUUUUUUUUUUUUCUGUCUUUAAAGGUUUCUUUUCCAUUCCUUAAAGUUCACAGGAUAUAAUAUGACUAGUUCCCUUUAUAUUUCUGACAGUUUAUUGUUAGAGAUUUAUGAAUGUGCUUAUAUGAUUAUAAGAAUACUAAUUAAAGUCCCAUACCAGAAUAAAGAGGAAUCUAAACAACUAACUUCUGCCAUUAAAGACUAAAGAUGAUAGAGGUCACCUUAAGCAAGAUUUUGGAAAAGGCGAAGGUAAACUUUCUUCAUUUGUGCUACUCUUCCAUUUUCAAUACCACUUUUAGACUUGGGGAAGGAGAUACCUUGCCCUAGACCCCAUGCUUGAGAGCAGUGAUCCUCAACAUGUCUAUGAUCAAAUACGAAAUUUGCAUUUCUAAUUCUUUGAGGUUAAAUAUUUUCAUAAAAUGUAAUGAUAUUAUGGCCAUUCCAAAGUGCAGUAAAAUUCUUUCAAUGCUUAUUCUCAAUAUCUACACUUUCCUUUUGACAGACGGUUCCCCAGGGCAUGUUCACUGACAUCAAGGUGCAGAACUUACUUUAAGUAGCACUACGUAUGAGGGCUGUACAUCUCACAAACAAAACAGAAAGACAAUAACUUUAGUAAAAAGAUGGAUACCAUUCAAGCCCAAGGAAAACCAAUGCUUCUUUUCAUCUAUGGACUCAAGUCUCAGAAAGCAGAGAAGUGAGUGUACCAAGUGCAACAAACGUUUGAGCAUUGUUCUGCUGCCAAUAUUGAAGACAGCCACUGCUUUGAAGUGUGGGGAGGAGAGCUAGAGCAUAUUUGCCUGCCACAGUUAGUUUUGUGUUUCCAUGGAAUUUGAGCAAAACUGAUGCACUUGUCUCCCAGGAUUAAUCCAUACAAGUCACCUCUAAAAUUAUCUUUUCCCAUUCGUUGACUGAGCAAAAUGGACUUCAAGGACCUAAAGGAGGUUAAAUACCACAAGAUGGAGGAGCUUGAGUCUCUGAAUCAUUGUGUGUGAAGUCAUCUGCCAAUUACAUAAAUUGAAUUCUUGGGAAUUCUUGGUAUGAUAGGACAUGAAAGCUGAGAGAAAACCCUUCUACCUAGGAACUCCGGAGUUUCAACUACCAGAGACUGAAGGCAGGAGAGAAAAACUAAGACAAAUGACUUCAAAGCCUUUCUGAAAUGCCACAGAGGGUCAGGAUUACAAUCUGCCUAUUCUGAUUCUUCUACUAUGGGAAAAAAUCUUUUUCAGAAUUGAUGUAAAGCCUCUGUUAAUACUUUUCCUGUUAACAACCUAACUAUUCAACUGCUGAAUAAAAACCAUUAGGACAACUAAAGAAACUGAGAGAUUUUGGCAAGAAAUAGUCAUUCCAAUAUCAAUGACUACGGAGGAAAUGCAAUUACUUUUCUUUGCUUAAGUUUUCCAGGGCCUUUCUCUGUUGCCCAGGCUGGAGUGCAGUGAGGCAAUCUUGGCUCACCACAAUCUCUCCCUCCUGGAUUCAAGCAAUUCUCCUGCCUCAGCCUCCCGAGUAGCUGGGAUUACAGGCAUGCACCACUACACCCGGAUAAUUUUUGUAUUUUUAGUAGAGAUGGGGUUUUACCAUGUUGGCCAGGCUGGUCUUGAACUCCUGACCUCGUGAUCAGCCUGCCUCGGCCUCCUAAAGUGCUGGGAUUACAUGCAUGAGCCACUGUGCCCUGCCAACUUGUUAAAUUUUUAAUCAUUCUGCUCACCUUUUGCAACCUUACUGACUUUUGUGUCUACCUUAUCUAGCAGUGGCUGAAAUUUCCUUCUAUGAUUAUAGAUUUGUCUGUUAUUUCUUAUAGAUUUCUCAAUAUUGCUUGUAUUAUUAUUUUAAGUUAAUACCAUUAGGCAUAAAAAUUCAAAAUUGUUAUCGCU
rnacentral:lncRNA from 1 species